rnacentral:rRNA from 1 species
UUCCGGUUGAUCCCGCCGGACCUGACUGCUAUCGGAUUGAUACUAAGCCAUGCGAGUCAUUGUAGCAAUACAAGGCAUACGGCUCAGUAACGCGUAGUCAACCUAACCUAUGGACGGGAAUAACCUCGGGAAACUGAGAAUAAUGCCCGAUAGAACAUUAUGCCUGGAAUGGUUUAUGUUCCAAAUGAUUUAUCGCCGUAGGAUGGGACUGCGGCCUAUCAGUUUGUUGGUGAGGUAAUGGCCCACCAAGACUAUUACAGGUACGGGCUCUGAGAGGAGUAGCCCGGAGAUGGGUACUGAGACACGGACCCAGGCCCUAUGGGGCGCAGCAGGCGAGAAAACUUUGCAAUGUGCGAAAGCACGACAAGGUUAAUCCGAGUGGUUCCUGCUAAAGGAACCUUUUGUUAGUCCUAGAAACACUAACGAAUAAGGGGUGGGCAAGUUCUGGUGUCAGCCGCCGCGGUAAAACCAGCACCUCAAGUGGUCAGGAUGAUUAUUGGGCCUAAAGCAUCCGUAGCCGGCUCUGUAAGUUUUCGGUUAAAUCUGUACGCUUAACGUACAGGCUGCCGGGAAUACUGCAGAGCUAGGGAGUGGGAGAAGUAGACGGUACUCGGUAGGAAGUGGUAAAAUGCUUUGAUCUAUCGAUGACCACCUGUGGCGAAGGCGGUCUACUAGAACACGUCCGACGGUGAGGGAUGAAAGCUGGGGGAGCAAACCGGAUUAGAUACCCGGGUAGUCCCAGCUGUAAACUAUGCAAACUCAAUGAUGCAUUGGCUUGUGGCCAAUGCAGUGCUGCAGGGAAGCCGUUAAGUUUGCCGCCUGGGAAGUACGUACGCAAGUAUGAAACUUAAAGGAAUUGGCGGGGGAGCACCACAAGGGGUGAAGCCUGCGGUUCAAUUGGAGUCAACGCCGGG